UUUUAUAACUUUAUUUGAUUAUCCCGAUAGAAAGCGUGAAACAGAUGAUUGAGAAUGUUACAAAGCUUUUAGUAUAAUUACAAUGACCCCAAAAUCUAAACAUAACUAAACAUUUCCUUUUGUUUCAGGAUAAAUCCUCAGAUCGUCAGACAAGUGCAGGAUGCAACAAGCUCAGGAGCUGUAAAGAAGAACCUUUUCAAUGACUACUGAGUGACUGUACACACAUUAACACACACACCUGAUCAUUCUUGACUAAUCUGGUUCAUGUUAUUUUAUCUUUAAAAGUCUGUGACAAUCAAUCCGUUAAAAAAAAAAACAGUCCUUUUUAAAGAUGUUGAAUUGAGCCUGUUAUAACAGUUAUCUUAGUUGCCUGGUUUGGCUCAGGUCAUGAUACUCUUGGGCCUAGGGAGAGUUGUGCAGGUCAGUUUAAAGAUUGUAAGCAGAAACCAAAAAGCUCUCUGAGACAUUUACAAAGACCACACACGUAAGAGUGGAAAAUCAACCGUAUUGGACACUUCCACUAAACAAUCAAUAUGCAUUACUGCCAUCAGGCAUCAGUACAGCUUUUAAAUGUUUAUCUUGUAUAUAUAUACCUUGACAGCAUGUGUAUCUGUCAUGUGUGUUGCUGUUUCUUUAUCUUGUGUGACGUGCCACAACUAAUGUUCCUUCUGGAAAAUGUUUAAUUUAAUCUAUUCAAUCUAAGGUUUCAAACGGAGGGUAUAUUACCAGUAAACUACCAGAAUUUUGGUAACUUUCAAGUUUUGGGGGGAAUUUUCUAAGAUCACAUCUAGUAAGCUUUUUUGGGUACUUCAGAUUAUCACGUGUCUGUAAUUAUCUCUGGCCCUCUGUGUGGCCUUAUCACUACAUGCGAAUUCAUUAAAGAAAAAAAAAAAUAUUCAAGUAUAAGGGACCAAAGUUCCCAUACUAGAAAAUAUUUGUGCUGACAUCAAAAUGAGGGGUAUUGUACAAAAUAAAUUAACCAGCAAUUAGAAGUCUCUAACCAAUCAGAAUGUCAAAGCCAAUGACGUGAUUCAUGUAAGCCAACUCUGUCUCAACUCUGUUGGGGAGGAAAGCAAAUCCAGACUCYGGGUGGAGAAGAAACACUAGUGGGCGUGGUGUUUGGCCGGAGCGAUGUGGAUGGUAGUCAGGCUACCUGAUGUGCAGGAAGGAAACAGGAAACGACAGACCGGCCACCAUGAAACAGUUAUCUCAUGCUUUAAAUAGACUGGCCUUGCAUCCACAGAAGUACAUAGGCUACAGCAUACAUACAUUUUUUGGGGGAAAAACAGUUGUAAUAAAUCAAAUCCAGCUAGUUA